CUUGGUCAUUUAGAGGAAGUAAAAGUCGUAACAAGGUUUCCGUAGGUGAACCUGCGGAAGGAUCAUUACAGAGAUCAUGCCCUCACGGGUAGACCUCCCACCCUGUGUUAUUUACUCUUGUUGCUUUGGCAGGCCGCCUUCGGGCUCUCGGCUCUGGCUGAGGUGUGCCUGCCGGAGGACCCCCAACUCUGUGUUUAGUGUCGCCUGAGUACUAUAUAAUAAGUUAAAACUUUCAACAACGGAUCUCUUGGUUCUGGCAUCGAUGAAGAACGCAGCGAAAUGCGAUAAGUAAUGUGAAUUGCAGAAUUCAGUGAAUCAUCGAAUCUUUGAACGCACAUUGCGCCCCUUGGUAUUCCGGGGGGCAUGCCUGUUCGAGCGUCAUUUCAACCCUCAAGCUUUGCUUGGUCUUGGGCUCUGCCGGCAACGGCUUGCCUUAAAAUUAGUGGCGGUGCCAUAGAGCUCUACGCGUAGUAAUUAAACCCUCGCUUCUGAGUCUCGGUGGACGCUUGCCAACAACCCCAAAAUUUUCUAUGGUUGACCUCGGAUCAGGUAGGGAUACCCGCUGAACUUAAGCAUAUCAAUAAGCGGAGGA
rnacentral:rRNA from 1 species